rnacentral:rRNA from 1 species
CUAAAUACUCUCUAGUGACCGAUAGUGAACCAGUACCGUGAGGGAAAGGUGAAAAGUACCCCGGAAGGGGAGUGAAAGAGAACUUGAAACCGUGUGCUUACAAGUAGUCAGAGCCCGUUAAUGGGUGAUGGCGUGCCUUUUGUAGAAUGAACCGGCGAGUUACGAUCUGAUGCAAGGUUAAGCAGCAAAUGUGGAGCCGCAGCGAAAGCGAGUCUGAAUAGGGCGUUGAGUAUUUGGUCGUAGACCCGAAACCAGGUGAUCUACCCUUGGUCAGGUUGAAGUUCAGGUAACACUGAAUGGAGGACCGAACCGACUUACGUUGAAAAGUGAGCGGAUGAACUGAGGGUAGCGGAGAAAUUCCAAUCGAACUUGGAGAUAGCUGGUUCUCUCCGAAAUAGCUUUAGGGCUAGCCUCAAGUGAUGAUUAUUGGAGGUAGAGCACUGUUUGGACGAGGGGCCCCUCUCGGGUUACCGAAUUCAGACAAACUCCGAAUGCCAAUUAAUUUAACUUGGGAGUCAGAACAUGGGUGAUAAGGUCCGUGUUCGAAAGGGAAACAGCCCAGACCACCAGCUAAGGUCCCAAAAUAUAUGUUAAGUGGAAAAGGAUGUGGCGUUGCCCAGACAACUAGGAUGUUGGCUUAGAAGCAGCCAUCAUUUAAAGAGUGCGUAAUAGCUCACUAGUCGAGUGACACUGCGCCGAAAAUGUACCGGGGCUAAACAUAUUACCGAAGCUGUGGAUUGUCCUUUGGACAAUGGUAGGAGAGCGUUCUAAGGGCGUCGAAGCAUGAUCGCAAGGACAUGUGGAGCGCUUAGAAGUGAGAAUGCCGGUGUGAGUAGCGAAAGACGGGUGAGAAUCCCGUCCACCGAUUGACUAAGGUUUCCAGAGGAAGGCUCGUCCGCUCUGGGUUAGUCGGGUCCUAAGCUGAGGCCGACAGGCGUAGGCGAUGGAUAACAGGUUGAUAUUCCUGUACCACCUAGUAUCGUUUUAAUCGAUGGGGGGACGCAGUAGGAUAGGCGAAGCGUGCUGUUGGAGUGCACGUCCAAGCAGUAAGGCUGAGUGUUAGGCAAAUCCGGCACUCAUAAGGCUGAGCUGUGAUGGGGAGAGGAAAUUGUUUCCUCGAGUCGUUGAUUUCACACUGCCGAGAAAAGCCUCUAGAUAGAUAACAGGUGCCCGUACCGCAAACCGACACAGGUAGUCAAGAUGAGAAUUCUAAGGUGAGCGAGCGAACUCUCGUUAAGGAACUCGGCAAAAUGACCCCGUAACUUCGGGAGAAGGGGUGCUCUUUAGGGUUCACGCCCAGAAGAGCCGCAGUGAAUAGGCCCAAGCGACUGUUUAUCAAAAACACAGGUCUCUGCUAAACCGUAAGGUGAUGUAUAGGGGCUGACGCCUGCCCGGUGCUGGAAGGUUAAGAGGAGUGGUUAGCUUCUGCGAAGCUACGAAUCGAAGCCCCAGUAAACGGCGGCCGUAACUAUAACGGUCCUAAGGUAGCGAAAUUCCUUGUCGGGUAAGUUCCGACCCGCACGAAAGGCGUAACGAUUUGGGCACUGUCUCAACGAGAGACUCGGUGAAAUCAUAGUACCUGUGAAGAUGCAGGUUACCCGCGACAGGACGGAAAGACCCCGUGGAGCUUUACUGUAGCCUGAUAUUGAAAUUCGGCACAGCUUGUACAGGAUAGGUAGGAGCCUUUGAAACGUGAGCGCUAGCUUACGUGGAGGCGUUGGUGGGAUACUACCCUAGCUGUGUUGGCUUUCUAACCCGCACCACUUAUCGUGGUGGGAGACAGUGUCAGGCGGGCAGUUUGACUGGGGCGGUCGCCUCCUAAAAGGUAACGGAGGCGCUCAAAGGUUCCCUCAGAAUGGUUGGAAAUCAUUCAUAGAGUGUAAAGGCAUAAGGG